UACGUAGGCAGCGAGCGUUGUUCGGAGUUACUGGGCGUAAAGCGUGCGUAGGCGGUGUCUUAAGUUUGUUGUGAAAUCUCCCGGCUUAACCGGGAGGGUGCGGCGAAUACUGAGAUGCUGGAGUGCCGGAGAGGUAAGCGGAAUUCCUGGUGUAGCGGUGAAAUGCGUAGAUAUCAGGAGGAACACCUGCGGUGUAGACGGCUUACUGGACCAUUUCUGACGCUGAGACACGAAAGCGUGGGUAGCAAACAGG
rnacentral:rRNA from 1 species